rnacentral:rRNA from 1 species
UAGGGAAUCUUCGGCAAUGGGGGGAACCCUGACCGAGCAACGCCGCGUGAGUGAAGAAGGUUUUCGGAUCGUAAAGCUCUGUUGUUAAGGAAGAACGAGUGUGAGAAUGGAAAGUUCAUACUGUGACGGUACUUAACCAGAAAGGGACGGCUAACUACGUGCCAGCAGCCGCGGUAAUACGUAGGUCCCGAGCGUUGUCCGGAUUUAUUGGGCGUAAAGCGAGCGCAGGCGGUUAGAUAAGUCUGAAGUUAAAGGCAGUGACUCAACCAUUGUAGGCUUUGGAAACUGUUUAACUUGAGUGCAGAAGGGGAGAGUGGAAUUCCAUGUGUAGCGGUGAAAUGCGUAGAUAUAUGGAGGAACACCGGUGGCGAAAGCGGCUCUCUGGUCUGUAACUGACGCUGAGGCUCGAAAGCGUGGGGAGCGAACAGGAUUAGAUACCCUGGUAGUCCACGCCGUAACGAUGAGUGCUAGGUGUUAGGUCCUUUCCGGGACUUAGUGCCGCAGCUAACGCAUUAAGCACUCCGCCUGGGGAGUACGACCGCAAGGUU